rnacentral:rRNA from 1 species
AUGGCGCAGGCGGCGGAGGGGGACAAACCACAGGAGGAGGAGGAGCACGAGGAGGAGGUGAUCAUCGUCGGGGCGGGCCCGUCGGGCCUGGCGGCCGCCGCGUGCCUGUCGCUGCGCGGGGUGCGGAGCCUCGUCCUGGAGCGCGACGACUGCGUGGGGUCGCUGUGGCGGAACCGCACCUACGACCGCAUCCGCCUCCACCUCGCCAAGCAGCACUCGGCGCUGCCGCACGCGCCGCACGGCCCCGCGGCCCCGACCUACCUCCCGCGCGACGACUUCGUGCGCUACCUCGACGACUACGCGGCCCGCUUCGGCGUCCGCGUCCGGCUCCGCCGCGAGGUCCGCGAGGCCCGCUUCGACGAGGCGCGGGGCGCGUGGGUCGUCGAGGCCGUCGACCACGCCACCGGGCUGGUGGAGCGCUACGCCGCGAGGUACCUGGUGGCCGCCGCUGGGGAGAACGACGAGAAGGUGCUGCCGGAGGUGCCGGGGCUGGACGGCUUCCCCGGGAAUGUGAUGCACGCCUGCGAGUACCGGACGGGCAAGGGGAUGGAGGGGAAGGCGGUGCUCGUCGUCGGGUCCGGCAACUCCGGCAUGGAGAUCGCCUACGACCUCGCCGAGGCCGGCGCCGCCACCUCCAUCAUCAUCCGCAGCGAGCUCCACCUUGUGACCAAGGAGAUCUGGAACGUGGCGAUGACGCUAUACAGGUACCUGCCGCUGUGGCUGAUUGACAGGAUCGUGCUGCUCAUGUGCAGCGUCGUGUUCGGGGACACCUCCCGCUACGGCCUCCGCCGGCCCGCCAUUGGGCCCUUCUCCAUGAAGAUCCACACCCCAGCCUACCCUGUCGUUGACGUCGGCACCUAUGCCAAGAUCAAGACCGGCGAGAUCCAGGUCCUGCCGGCGAUGAAGGCUGUGCAUGGGAACGUCGUGGAGUUUGCAGACGGCAAGCGGCACCCGUUCGAUGCCAUCGUCUUCGCCACCGGCUACCGGAGCACAACCAAGAAGUGGCUCAAGAGCGACGAUGGGCUGAUAGGCGAGGACGGGAUGGCGCGGCGGAGCUUCCCGGAGCACUGGAAGGGGGAGAACGGCCUCUACUGCGCGGGGAUGGUGAGGAGGGGCCUCUACGGGAGCUGUGAGGACGCCGAGUCCAUAGCCGAGGACAUCAGCAAGAAGAAGAAGCCAGAUCAAGCCUGA